UGCGCAGGCGGUUAGGCAAGUUUGAUGUGAAAGCCCCGGGCUUAACCUGGGACGUGCAUUGAAUACUGCUUAACUAGAGUACGUUAGAGGGGGGUGGGAAUUCCACGUGUAGCAGUGAAAUGCGUAGAGACGUGGAGGAACACCGAUGGCGAAGGCAGCCCCCUGGGAUGAUACUGACGCUCAAGCACGAAAGCGUGGGUAGCAAACA
rnacentral:rRNA from 1 species